GGAAUUACUAGGGAUAUCUACAGAAAGAUGAACAAAAAUAAUUUUAUGUUCAAUCUAGCCCUUCUUUUCCCCAGUUUGAAUUGUUAUUGGCAACAAUGUGGGUUCAUUGCUAACCGCAGCUUACUAUCUGCAGUGUUUCCUCUUGGUGAUUCAUCACGGCACAGUCAGAUCUCAGUUAUCUAGGUAAAACGAGGCGAGGACAAACACAUAAUCCAAGCGAGUGACUAAAACACAAGCCAUUCAGUUGACUUGGAAGUGUGGUUUCCUACUAGACGAGACUGAUGCUUUUGCAGUUCAUGGCCCUCCAGAGAGCCCCAGUUUGGGAAAGGCAUGCUGGGAAGUGAUGGAGUGAGUCAGCCAGUGAGGGCUGAGUGCCUGUCACAUGCCCAGCACUCCUGGGAUAAAAGCACAGAGCCCCCUCCUUGCACGGCUUGUGUUCUGGUUCAGGGGAUAAAAGUAACCCCCUUAAAUAAUGCAAGGAUGAUUUAGUACUAAAAUGCAAGGAAGCAAGGUCAGUGGGAGGUGAACAAGGGUCAUCGUUAUGGACUGGAGUUUGGUACGGCAGAACUUCUCCACGACAAACCCUGUUAUCUUGAGAGAGGGGAUGUUAGGGUCAGAAGUUUCUGUUCCAACAAGAAGACAUACCUUAAUAGUUCUACCAUGUCUUAUGAAAAACCAGUGAGGUUUUUAACUCAUCAGAACCAUGUUUCGCUCAUAGUAAGCUCUCAAAUAAUUUGGCUCUGAUUCUAUUGGAUUUAUUUGCCUUAAAAUCAAACGUGUAUUGCGCCCCAGAUAUGGAUUAUUAAUGGGAGUUGGUGAUUGUGGGGAGGAGUUACUUAGCCGCAUCCAGUUGCCAGGUGCUGUCCAAGUUGUAGGGUUAAUGAGCAGACCUGUAACGGUGAUUUUUCCAAGUGUGGUCCCCUGACCGGGUACAUCAUUGUCGCCUGGAAACUUGUUAGAAACACACAUUCUCAGAAUCACUCCGUUAUGCAUUCGUGGGUGGGGCCUAGAAACUUCUAUUCUGACACGCCCUCCAGGUGAUUCCGAUGUAUCCCAAAGUUUGGGAACCAUUGCUCUAAGAAGGCUAACCAAAAGGUCAGGGGCAGUACCAAAAAGAACAUACCCUAGGGGAAACAGGCCCGUGUGUGUAGAGCAAGAAUAGGGGAAGCCAGAAACCAAAUAGAUCUGCCUUAGGUGAGCUUUAUUCUUUAAAAGACGGAGGGAAUGGUGGUGGUGGUGGUGGUACGAGUAGAAGACGGAGCUAGAGAGACCUGACCUGGACGCUUGUAAUUGCGAAGGACGAUGGUUUCUAAACCCUUUGGAUUCUCUGGAUUGCUUGGAGAGAUUUAAAAACAAACAAACAAACAAACAAAAAACGAAAACAACUCCAGUUCUAGAGAUUGUGAUUCUCAGUCUGGUGGAAGGCCUGGGUACCUAAUUUGUAAAAAAACACUGGAUGAUUCUAGCAAGCAUUUAGGAGUGAGAAUCACUGACUUGCGGGUAGAGACUUAGCGAAGGGUGAGGGGAACAAGAGUCUGGAUGUGUUCUGGCUUUGAAAAAUCAGACAAGGGAGGCCAAAGAUGAAGAACAUAUCGUUUGAGAGGGAGAGCGCAAACAGAAGCACAAACAGGUGGGCAGGGCCAGGGAACAUGCAUCCUGAGGACGAUUCCACUUUGCAAACGCCUUAGAUUGCUAGAAAGAGCCACCCUACACUGGGCUCUUCCUAAAUUUUAUCCCUCUCCAAUUCAGAGCGUUUCCUCCAGCUAGAGUGAGGGUAGUAGGGGAAACAAAGUUAAGGAAUAAUUUGGUUUAAAAAUAAGAGUUUCAGGGGUGCCUAGGUGGCUCAGUCAGUUGAGCGUCUGGCUCUUGCUUUUGGCCCCAUUCACGAUGUCACAAUCGUGGGAUGGCGUCCACAUUGGGCUCACACUGAUUGUGGAAGCUGCUUGAGAUUCUCUCUCCCUCUUCUCCUCUACCCCGCUCGCUCACCCUCUCUAAAAUAAAAAAUAAAUAAAAAUAGUCUGAAUGAGAAAUAAAAAGUAAAAGUGUGGUAAGGUGGUGGCAUCAUGGGUGGGUUUUUCCUCUGUAUUUCAUAAAUUUUUGGAUGAUGCAUUCUUAGUAAUUUUAUGAUAAAAAGUUUUAUCCUUUAUAAAGUCUCAAAGGAUGAAUAAACCAAGGGUAUUCACAUUGACCAGUUAGGUGCUUCUGUGAGAGAACUCAGAGGUAACAUUGGCUGUGAUGAGGUCUGCAGAGUGUAGACGUACCUUCAGAUAAUGGAGUGUGGACAGUGCACCAUUGGAAUGUAAGGCACCGUGGUCUUUGUAUGCUGUUAUCUCUGACCUUGGCCAUUACUUGGAGCUUCCUCCUUUGCGAUGCAUGAUAAUGUCUUAAUUUGGAGGGAUGUGUGAAGCAAAUGUCUGGUACGAAAGCCUUUCUGCGAGGCUGAACAGGAGUCCUCUGGUGGAAUAUACGAAUUCAGUAUCUGCUACUCCCUCUUAAAGAUGAGAGGCUAAGAGGUUUGCCAGAAGCUCAGUGAGUCAGUGGUGACACCAAAUAUGUUUAUAUAGACAUAGUGUUUUCAAACUUCUGAACCGAGUUAGAAGACAAUGUAAGAACAGAAAGUCUAUUAUUAUAGUUGUGUGACUCACUGUUUCCACAUCAGCUCUCUCAUUUCUAUCUCAGUAAUUCUACUUCUCAGAAAGUGUUCCUUCUUAGAUUUUUUUCUAGUGGGCACAUUUUUUUGUUUUGUUUAGUUUUGUUGUACAGAAUGAUCUGUAGAACUCGUACAUAUUCUAUACAGCAAAAUAGAGACUAACGUAGGUGAUGUGUAUGAGAUCGAAAUGGGACUUGAUAAAUUUCCUUUUAAAGUUUAAAAUUUCUCCUAAUUUAUGUACUUCUAAGAGGUCUGAAAUUUGACAAAGAGAUUAUUACUAUCAUUUUUUAAAAUUUUUACUGAAAUUCUAGUUAGUUAACAUACAGUGCGAUAUUGGUUUCAGGAGGAGAAUUCAGUGAUUCAUCACUUACAUGUGAUACCCGGUGCUCAUCACAAGUGCCCUCCUUAGUACCCAUCACCCGUUUAGCUCAUCCCCCACCCACCUUCCCUUCAGCAACGCUGAAGUUUGUUCUCUGUAUUUAAGAGUCUCUUAGGGUUUGUUUCCCUCUGUCUUCUUCUUUUUCCCUUUCCCAUAUGUUCAUCUGUUUUUUUGUUAAAUUCCACAUAUGAGUGAAAUCAUAUGAUAUUUGUCUUUCUCUGACUCACUUAUUUUCCUUAGCAUAAUACACUCUAGCUCCAUCCACAUUGUUGCAAAUGGCAAGAUUUCAUUCCUUUUGAUGGCUGAGUUAUAUUCCAUUUGUGUGUGUGUGUGUGUGUGUGUGUGUGUGUGUGUGUGUGUGUACGUACACAUACGUACCAUGCCUUCUUUAUCCAUUCAUCAGUUGACGGAUAUUUGGGCUCUCUCCAUAGUUUGGCUAUUGUUGAUAGUGUGGCUAUAAACAUUGGGUUGCAUGUACCGCUUCGAAUCUGUAUUUUUAUAUUCUUUGGGUAAAUAUCUAGUAGUGUAAUAGCUAGAUCGUAGGGUAAUUAUACUUUUAACUUUUUGAGGGACCUCCAUAUUGUUUUCUGGUGUGGCUGCACCAGUUUUCAUUCCAACAAUGCAAGAAGGUUUCCUUUUCUCUGCAUCCUCGCCAACACCUGUUGUUUCUGGUGUCGUUAAUUUUAGCCAUUCUUACAGGUGUGAGGCGGUAUCUCAUCAUGGUUUUGAUUUGUAUUUCCCUGAUGAUGAGUGAUGUUGAACAUUUUUUUCAUGUGUCUGUUAGCCAUCUGGAUGUCUUCUUUGGAAAAGUGUCUAUUCAUGUCUUCUGCCCAUUUCUUCACUGGAUUAAUUGUUUUUUGGGUGAUGAGUUUGAUAAGUUCUUUAUAGAUUUUGGAUGUUAACCCUUUACUUGAGAUGUCACUUGCAAAUAUCUUCUCCCAUUCCACAGACUGCCUUUUAGUUUUGUUGAUUGUUUCCUUCAGUGUGCAAAAGCUUUUAUCUUGGUGAAGUCCCAAUAGUUCAUUUUUGCUUUUGUUUCCCUUGCCUCUGGAGAUGUGUCUAGUAAGUUGCUAUGGCUGAGGUCACAGAGGUUACUGCCUGUGUUCUUCUCUAGGAUUUUGAUGGUUUCCUGUCUCACAUUUAGGACUUUGAUCCAUUUUGAAUUUAUUUUUGUGUAUGGUGUAAGAAAGUGGUCCAGUUUCAUUCUUGUACAUGUUGCUGUCCAGUUUUCCCAACACCAUUUGAAGAGACUGUCUCUUUUCCAUUGGGUGUUCUUUCUUGCUUUGUCAAAGAUUAGUCGACCAUAUAGUUGUGGGUCCAUUUCUGGGUUUUGUAUUCUGUUCCAUUGAUGUAUGUGUCUGUGGUUGUGCCAGUAUCAUAUUGUCUGAUGAUUACAGCUUUGUAAUGCAGCUUGAAAUCCGUAAUUGUGAUGCCCCCAGCUUUGCUUUUCUGUUUCAGGAUUGCUUUGGCUAUUUGGGGUCUUUUGUGGUUCCAUACAAAUUUUAGGAUUGUUUGUUCUCACUCUGUGAAAGAUGCUGGUGGUAUUUUGAUGGGGAUUGUGACAAAGACAUUAAAUCUCCUGAACAUAACAUAGUGAGUAUCAAGUAAAGAUAACCAUGGCUAAUACCUUACGAUGGCCCUUAACCGUGUGCUGGGCAUUGCUUGAAGCACUUUAUCUACAUUGUCUCAUUGAAUCCUUACUAUUUUCCUAUGAAGUGUGAGCUUCUAUUGUCCAGUCCAUAAACUAGUAAGAAGCAGGGCUGGAAAUUGAACCCAAUGUCUGAAUCCAGAGACUUACUCUUUUUCAUUUUUUUUAUUUAAAAAUUUUA